rnacentral:rRNA from 1 species
GACGAACGCUGGCGGCGUGCUUAACACAUGCAAGUCGAACGGAAAGGCCCUGCUUUUGUGGGGUGCUCGAGUGGCGAACGGGUGAGUAACACGUGAGUAAACUGCACUUGACUGUGGGAUAACUUCAGGAAACUGGGGCUAAUACCGGAUAGGAGCUCCUGCUGCAUGGGGGGGGUUGGAAAGAUUCGGCGGUGGGGGAUGGACUAGCGGCUUAUCAGCUUGUUGGGGGGGUAGGGGCUUACCAAGGCUUUGACGGGUAGCCGGCCUGAGAGGGUGACCGGCCACAUUGGGCCUGAGAUACGGCCCAGUCUCCUACGGGAGGCAGCAGUGGGGAAUAUUGCACAAUGGGCGGAAGCCUGAUGCAGCAACGCCGCGUGCGGGAUGCCGGCCUUCGGGUUGUAAACCGCUUUCGCCUGUGACGAAGCGUGAGUGACGGUAAUGGGUAAAGAAGCACCGGCUAACUACGUG